rnacentral:rRNA from 1 species
UACGGAGGGUGCAAGCGUUACUCGGAAUUACUGGGCGUAAAGCGUGCGCAGGCGGUUUGUUAAGUCUGCUGUGAAAUCCCCGAGCUCAACUUGGGAAUUGCAGUGGAUACUGGCAGGCUGGAGUAUGGUAGAGGAAGGUGGAAUUCCCGGUGUAGCAGUGAAAUGCGUAGAGAUCGGGAGGAACACCAGUGGCGAAGGCGGCCUUCUGGACCAAUACUGACGCUCAUGCACGAAAGCGUGGGGAGCAAACAGG